rnacentral:rRNA from 1 species
GUAGGUGGCAAGCGUUGUCCGGAAUUAUUGGGCGUAAAGCGCGCGCAGGUGGUUCUUUAAGUCUGAUGUGAAAGCCCCCGGCUCAACCGGGGAGGGUCAUUGGAAACUGGGGAACUUGAGUGCAGGAGAGGAAAGUGGAAUUCCACGUGAAGCGGUGAAAUGCGUAGAUAUGUGGAGGAACACCAGUGGCGAAGGCGACUUUCUGGCCUGUAACUGACACUGAGGCGCGAAAGCGUGGGGAGCAAACAGGGAUUAGAUACCCUGGUAGUCCACGCCGUAAACGAUGAGUGCUAAGUGUUGGGGGGGUUUCCCGCCCCUCAGUGCUGCAGCUAACGCAUUAAGCACUCCGCCUGGGGAGUACGGUCGCAAGACUG